rnacentral:rRNA from 1 species
GUGUCAGCAGCCGCGGUAAUACGAAGGGUGCAAGCGUUAAUCGGAAUUACUGGGCGUAAAGCGUGCGUAGAUGGUUUGUUAAGUCGAAUGUGAAAGCCCCGGGCUCAACCUGGGAACUGCAUCCGAUACUGGCAGACUAGAGUGUGGUAGAGGAUGGCGGAAUUCCCGGUGUAGCGGUGAAAUGCGUAGAGAUCGGGAGGAACAUCCGUGGCGAAGGCGGCCAUCUGGACCAACACUGACGUUGAGGCACGAAAGCGUGGGGAGCAAACAGGAUUAGAAACCCCCGUAGUCC